rnacentral:misc_RNA from 1 species
ACUUUUACUGUGUAUACUAUGGUUAAUUAUGAAUAUGUUCAAAAUGUAAAAUCGAUAUAUAUAUAUACAUGCCUAAAUACAUUUGUUGACCUAGAUAUCGUGUCUUAAUUCUGUUAUCAUAUAUAAAGCUGUGAUGUUCUCUGACGCAUAUUAACUAUGUAUAUUUGCCUUCAUAUCUAUUAAUACAUGAUAAAUACAUGUACAUACAUACAUAUUACAUACAUUAUGUUUCUCCAUUCCCAUUAUCACACUCCUAAAUCAGCUUUCUUUACAUUUAUAACACAGUUUUUUUGCAAAUAAUCAUUCAAUUUUAUCCAGUCCAUCAAGUUCACAAUGCAAUCACAUUUCAGAUUCAGACUUUAACUAUGGAGAAGUCUAAAAUUUCAAUUUCAUACUAGUAUACCAUAUAUACAGCGAAAAUAAAUUUUCUUAAAGUUUUUUAUAAGGUUUAUGUAAAUACACUGUGCCAAUUUUUUUUCCAUUUCAAAUAAUCUUAAUAUAGAGUUCCCUUUUCUUGACUAUCGUAUUUUGUAUUGUAUAUGAAUCUUCUCAAAUUUUGUUUAUAUUUUCAAAGAUAAUGUUGCCAUUUUUUGGCUUAUUUUUUGUAUUUAAAGGGUAUUGUUGUAUUAAAUUCUUCAAAA